UCCCUGGUGGUCCAGUGGUGAAGACUCAGCACUUCCAAUGCGGGGGACACAGGUUCGAUCCCUGGCCAAGGAA